rnacentral:rRNA from 1 species
UUCGGGGUCUCUGUGAAGGUGCUGCAUGGUUGUCGUCAGCUCGUGCCGUGAGGUGUCGGCUUAAGCGCCAUAACGAGCGCAACCCCUUUCCCUAGUUGCCAUCGGUUUUGGCCGGGCACUCUGGGGACACUGCCUCCGCAAGGAGUGAGGAAGGUGGGGAUGACGUCAAAUCAGCACGGCCCUUACGUCCGGGGCUACACACGUGUUACAAUGGGUGAUACAGAGGGCCGGCCGCUGGCAACAUCGGUCCAAUCCUUAAAGUCAUCCUCAGUUCGGACUGGGGUCUGCAACCCGACCCCACGAAGCUGGAUUCGCUAGUAAUCGCGCAUCAGCCAUGGCGCGGUGAAUACGUUCCCGGGCCUUGUACACACCGCCCGUCAAGCCAUGAAAGCCGGGGGCGCCUGAAGUCCGUGACCGCGAGGGUCGGCCUAGGGUGAAACCGGUGAUUGGGGCUAAGUCGUAACAAGGUAGCCGUACCGGAAGGUGCGGCUGGAUCACCUCCUU